AUUGAACGCUGGCGGCAUGCUUUACACAUGCAAGUCGAACGGUAACAGGGUGCUUGCACCGCUGACGAGUGGCGAACGGGUGAGUAAUGCGUAUGCAACCUACCUUUAUCUGGGGGAUAGCCCGGGGAAACCCGGAUUAAUACCGCAUAACAAUCUGAUCGGCAUCGAUUGGAUUUAAAAGAUUUAUUGGAUAGAGAUGGGCAUGCGUAAGAUUAGAUAGUUGGCGAGGUAACGGCUCACCAAGUCUACGAUCUUUAGGGGCUCUGAGGAGAAUCCCCCACACUGGCACUGAGAUACGGGCCAGACUCCUACGGGAGGCAGCAGUAGGGAAUAUUGGGCAAUGGACGCAAGUCUGACCCAGCCACGCCGCGUGCAGGAAGACGGCCCUCUGGGUUGUAAACUGCUCUUGACUGGGAAGAAAAGACUCCUUGCGAGGAGAGUUGACGGUACCAGCAGAAUAAGCCACGGCUAACUACGUGCCAGCCGCCGCCGUAACAC
rnacentral:rRNA from 1 species